UACGUAGGGGGCAAGCGUUGUCCGGAAUCAUUGGGCGUAAAGAGCGUGUAGGCGGCUCGAUAAGUCCGCUGUGAAAGUCCAGGGCUCAACCCUGGAAGGCCGGUGGAAACUGUCGGGCUAGAGUCCGGAAGAGGCGAGUGGAAUUCCUGGUGUAGCGGUGAAAUGCGCAGAUAUCAGGAGGAACACCGGUGGCGAAGGCGGCUUGCUGGGCCAGUUCUGACGCUGAGGAGCGAAAGCGUGGGGAGCGAACAGG
rnacentral:rRNA from 1 species